UACGUAGGGGGCAAGCGUUGUCCGGAAUCAUUGGGCGUAAAGAGCGUGUAGGCGGCCCGAUAAGUCCGCUGUGAAAGUCCAGGGCUCAACCCUGGGAUGCCGGUGGAUACUGUCGGGCUCGAGUCCGGAAGAGGAGUGUGGAAUUCUCGGUGUAGCGGUGAAAUGCGUAGAUAUCGAGAGGAACACCUGCGGCGAAGGCGGGUUGCUGGGCCGACACUGACGCUGAUGCGCGAAAGCCAGGGGAGCGAACGGG
rnacentral:rRNA from 1 species